rnacentral:rRNA from 1 species
GUAGUCCAUGCUGUAAACGAUGAAGACUAGAUGCUGGUUGGAUAAAACCGAUCGGUAUCGAAGCAAACGCGAUAAGUCUUCCGCCUGGGGAGUACGGUCGCAAGAUUAAAACUCAAAGGAAUUGACGGGGGCCCGCACAAGCGGUGGAGCAUGUGGUUUAAUUCGAUGCAACGCGAAGAACCUUACCUACCCUUGACAUGCCAGGAAUCCAGCAGAGAUGUUGGAGUGCCUUCGGGAACCUGGACACAGGUGCUGCAUGGCUGUCGUCAGCUCGUGUUGUGAGAUGUUGGGUUAAGUCCCGUAACGAGCGCAACCCCUGUUCUUAGUUGCCAACACGUAAAGGUGGGAACUCUAAGGAGACUGCCGGUGACAAACCGGA